UCUUCUGUUAGGAGAUUGAUUUUAUAGUUGUGUUCGAUACUGUCUGUGGAUUGAUUUGUUUGUUGUGUUGGAUCGAUUGACAUUUUGUUGCUACUUUAUUAAUAUUGAUUUAGUUUGUGGAUGUUGAUUCAAUUUUUUGUUUCUGUCUUUGUGUUCUGGGAUGGAUGGAUCACAUACGCUUUGAUUUGUUCUGUGGAAUGAGACACGAGGAAGGUUCUUCGAACAAAGGACACCAAUUACAAUACAGGUUGGUGUUACCAUUCUGUGAUGUUUUGAGUGUGUUUAUGUGAUGAAUUGAGUUAGGUUUUGUGAUGAGUUGGUUAUGUAUCUUGUGUGAUUAAUGGUAAGCUAGGAAUUGUGUGAUGAAUUUAGUUAGCUUCUUCUGUGAUGAUUUGAGUUGGUUCUGUGAUA
rnacentral:lncRNA from 1 species